GACGAACCGUGCGAACGUUAUUCGGAAUCACUGGGCUUACAGGGUGCGUAGGCGGCUUGUUAAGUAGGGUGUGAAAGCCCCCGGCUCAACCGGGGAAUUGCGCCCUAAACUGGCGAGCUGGAGUGAGAUAGGGGUGUGUGGAACUUCCGGUGGAGCGGUGAAAUGUGUUGAUAUCGGAAGGAACGCCGGUGGCGAAAGCGACACACUGGAUCUUGUCUGACGCUGAGGCACGAAAGCCAGGGGAGCGAACGGG
rnacentral:rRNA from 1 species